rnacentral:rRNA from 1 species
AGAAUGAACGCUGGCGGCGUGCUUAACACAUGCAAGUCGAACGGAAUCCAAGGAGCUUGCUCUGGAAGAUUUAGUGGCGAACGGGUGAGUAUCACGUGAGCAACCUGCCCCGAAGACUGGGAUAACACCGGGAAACCGGUGCUAAUACCGGAUGUCUUUCAAUGAUCGCAUGAUCGAUGAAAGAAAUGUUUUUUCGCUUUGGGAGGGGCUCGCGGUCCAUCAGCUUGUUGGCGGGUAACGGCCCACCAAGGCAACGACGGAUAGCUGGUCUGAGAGGACGAUCAGCCACACUGGAACUGAGACACGGUCCAGACUCCUACGGGAGGCAGCAGUGGGGAAUCUUGCGCAAUGGACGAAAGUCUGACGCAGCAACGCCGCGUGAGGGACGAAGGUUUUCUGAAUUGUAAACCUCUUUCGACAGGAACGAUUGUGACGGUACCUGUAGAAGAAGCACCGGCCAACUAUGCGCCAGCAGCCGCGGUAA